rnacentral:rRNA from 1 species
CGGCGGACGGGUGAGUAACGCGUGGGUAACCUGCCUUACACUGGGGGAUAACAGUUAGAAAUGACUGCUAAUACCGCAUAAGCGCACAGUGCCGCAUGGCACGGUGUGGAAAACUCCGGUGGUGUAAGAUGGACCCGCGUCUGAUUAGGUAGUUGGUAGGGUAGCGGCCUACCAAGCCGACGAUCAGUAGCCGACCUGAGAGGGUGACCGGCCACAUUGGGACUGAGACACGGCCCAA